CUAGAGGUUGGGUUCCAUAAGCUCGACGGGAGACUCAAGAAUGAACUUUCAUGUGAUGCGUGUUAAGCGGAGUGGAACAGGGGAACCCAAGAGCAGACUCAGACGAGGAGACUGGGAUGAAGCAACCAAGCGCACCUUCAAGUACAGUAUGCAGUCAGGUGACUUCAUUUUGGCAACCAACAUUCUGCUCUCUGGAAACAACUACGUUUUGGCAGGAGAAGAGGGCUGAAGUCAAUGACCGCCAUGUGUCAUCCAUAUAUGAAGUGCUUAUUCUAGCUGACGGCAGAACGG